AUUGAACGCUGGCGGCAUGCCUUACACAUGCAAGUCGAACGGCAGCGGGGGAGAAGCUUGCUUUUCCUGCCGGCGAGUGGCGAACGGGUGAGUAAUACACCGGAACGUGCCCUGUAGUGGGGGAUAACUAGUCGAAAGAUUAGCUAAUACCGCAUACGACCUGAGGGUGAAAGUUGGGGACCGCAAGGCCUCAUGCUAUAGGAGCGGCCGAUGUCUGAUUAGCUAGUUGGUGGGGUAAAGGCCUACCAAGGCGACGAUCAGUAGCUGGUCUGAGGGGACGAUCAGCCACACUGGGACUGAGACACGGCCCAGACUCCUACGGGAGGCGGCAGUGGGGAAUUUUGGACAAUGGGCGAAAGCCUGAUCCAGCAAUGCCGCGUGUGUGAAGAAGGCCUUCGGGUUGUAAAGCACUUUUGUCCGGAAAGAAAUGGCUCUGGUUAAUACCUGGGGUCGAUGACGGUACCGGAAGAAUAAGGACCGGCUAACUACGUGCCAGCCGCCGCCGUAA
rnacentral:rRNA from 1 species